rnacentral:miRNA from 1 species
CAGGUGGAACACGAUGCAAUUU